CUGCUAUUAAAAUUUCUCAAAUUUUGCCUGAAGAACUUGCUGAAGUCUCCCGUCUUCAGCACUGUGUUCUUAGAUAUCUGGAAAUCAGAGCAAAGAGUUGGCAGAAGUCUUUGCUAUAACAGCAGAUAAUACUGUAAAGGAUAAAAUAAAAGGCCAAGAAGAGGAAAGAAUGAAAACUAUGAAAAUACAAGACCACAAGGAUGUUGGAUGUUCAAGGUUUUCUGAAGCAGUGUUGUAUUUCUUAACUGUAAUGAAAAAAUCCUGAAGUGCAAUUCCUCCCUUUUUUCCUCUUGGCAAGAUGCCUUGAAGAAGCUGUUAUUGGUCUACCUGAAUUUUCAUUCUUCUUUGAAACCUGGGUAACCAUCCAUGAGUCACAGGAAAUCCACAAUGAGUUGUGGGAAACACAUUUCUUAGGUAGCAGGAGAGAAGGGGACCUAGACUACACCUCAAUAAAUCAG
ensembl:lncRNA